CCCUACGGGGUGCACCAGGCUGGGCAGGGAAGCGGCGGUGACAGAAACCGACUCGCCAUCGCAUCCCAGCCCCGUGGUCAUCCAGACCACGUGGACUUCCUUCACGGCAGGGGGACGGUCGGCCACUACGGGAGCGGUUUUCAUUUUUUCUUUUCCUUGGUUAGGGAUUACAUGCGGCGGAUGCGGAGAUAGCGGGCCAAUCCCCGCAGGUUGUUGAGAAUCAUCACCACGAUAGUCAGCAAUACGAUGCCGGCCACACCCAGGGCAAUGACCUCCACGACGGAUCUUGUUUCACUCAAGAAGGGCAUAAUCUUGUCCUUUCAAAUUCUUCAACCCUGGCGCUGGGAUGUCUGUUUUCCGGAGCCCAGGUUUCCGAAAGCUCCCUGACCAAGUCCAGGAUCAUGCGCGAGGCUAAAGGAAUUGGCGGGAGGGC
rnacentral:rRNA from 1 species